GCCAUGAGAGCUGCUGCUGCUGCUGUUACUCAUUUAUUUAUUUAUUACCCGUUUCUCUCACUAGAAUAUAAAUUCCACAGGAGCAGGAAUUUCACCUCACUCUUUCACAUGUACCCCAGUGCCUAGACAAUGCCUGGCACCCUGGUGACACUCAAUACACAUUUCUAGAAGGAAUGAAUAAACACAGACUGUCCUACUAUAAGCAAUGCUCUCUUUGGGCAGUGUUUGCUAAUUUUGCUUUUUUGUCCUUUACUCAGACUUAGAUUUUAGUCAAGUUAGCUUGAGUAUUUUUCCUUCACCUCACAUUAGAUAAUUCCCGGGUUUUCUUGUAGCUCUGAGUAGAAACUUUUACGACAACUUCUGACACCAAUGCAGACUCUAAGAAAACUGCUUCUUCCUGUACUGUGUCUGCCUCUCACUUUCAUUAGCUGCAGUAAUAUUCUAAUCACUCUGUGCUGCAGUCUCAGAGAAAGGAGGAAGGAGAGCUCCAAAAAACAGUUGUUAUUCUCUUCUUUAUGGAAAAGCACUUGAGAUCAAAAGUGCCGUAAAAUAAACUCUCAAUGGCACACACACACACAUACACACAAACUCCAACCUUCUCAAACGUUCUGAAAAAGGUAAAGGUAUGUCUGGGAAUGUGUGAGCAGGAGAGCCCAGUGCAAUCUCAUAGGGCUCCCAGGCCUGAUUUCAUAGACAAUGCUUGGGCAGAAUCAAAAAUGGAACAGCUUGUGGGAAGGUAGAAAGGUUUCCAGAGAUACGGGAUGAGUGACAGGAAAUACAUCAAUCAACACACUUAAUACACAGGUAGGUUGGAAACAAUUGGUGGUUGUACUCAGUUUCCCAAUGGAAUCUUGGGCAACUCAAUUAACCUCUUUCUGCCACACUCUCAUCACUUAUAAAUAGAGUACAACAAUCUGCCUAGCUGAGAUUGCACAGGGAUUUGGUAAUAAAUGUGAGUAGACAGCUAUAUGUAUGAUACUUAAUAAUAUUAUGUUAACUAGCAUAAAACCAUGGGGCUCCAGGAGACUCAGGAGGUCAACCUAGUCCUCUCACAUGGGACCACAAAUUAAACCAUUCCAGAGGGAUUAGAUUUUAAUCCUUUUUAAAAGGUGUCUGUAUAAAGGAUUUCCCACAAAACUCCCCUUUGUCAAGGACGCUUUCUUAAAUUUAAGACGCCCCAAUCCACAGCAUUAGUAUGCUGUGCUUUUGUCCCUUCAGCGACCACAAUACAGCAGCAUCCUGGUUUAGAGCAGGGAUACUGGAGUCAGGCUGACUUAGGUUCCCAUUGGACUCUACACUGUGCUGCCUACAUGCCUUUGAGCUAGUUCCAGCCUUAACUUCCUCAAGCCUCAGUUUAUUCUCCUCUAAAAGAGUUGUCCCACUGACCCCAUAAGGUUACUAUCAGGACUAAGUGGAAAAACAAGUAAGGCACUUCUAAGUGUCUGAUUCACGAUGUGGACCAAAUAAACUGUAAUGUUAUUUUCUAGCUGAAUAACUCUGGUCACUCUAGUUUUUAUUUACAACUUAACUUUAAAAAUGUUAAUCAAUUUUUAUUUCUCCUUUCUGAUCUCUCUCCAAAUUCCCUAUUUUUCAUUUUUAAUAUAGUGCUCAAAAUUUUAGGAAGAUGCUAGCUACUCUGAGUAGCCUGGGAAGAUUUCUGCUUGAUUUCUCCCGGGACCAGAGGGGAAGGCUGCAUGGUAUGUGCCUUGGGAAGGCACUGGGGUUCUUAGAAACAAAGAUUCCCAUAUUCCAUAAGUGGUUGUGGAAACACAGACAUGAGAGUUUAAGGGACUAGAGAGAGUUUGGGCAAUGCACAUAUGGGGGAAACCAGGAUGUCUGGAGAGUAGAGACCUUUCCUCCAAUUUCUAGGCACCAUGUAAACCCCCUGAGCCUGGUGCAUCCCAGGGAGCAGGGGGUUACCCCUAUAACGUUCCUGAACACCUGACUAUACGGACAGAGAUUUAUGCCAAUAGAGCACGGGGGCUUUCCAAUUUACCAAGCAGUUUCACACUCCUAACUUCCUUUGAGCAUGGCAGAAAGCCUGUGUGAAAGAUAACUAUCCCUAUUCUAAUGCUGUGAAUGCAAAGGCUCAGAGAGCUUAAGUGUGGCCUGGGGUCUCUGUAUUCCAAUUCUGCAUCCUUCCUACUAUGCCGUAUGACUCACUGUGUCAAAGAUCUUUUAACCUAACCUUGAAAUCCAGCAUUUCCAUGUGAGGGUAUGUUACAAUGUAAAAUUGAAGCCAUUCUAAUAAGAGGGCUUGUAGGAAACAAAAUUGAAUCCACAGCAUGCUUACAGUUAUAUUGCAAAAAUAAAAACUCAAGGCUAUGCAUAGGAAAAAAGACUCAGAUAUAUUAUUGCAAAAUGAUAAAAGCAAUUGGGUUUAGGAGAUAGACGAUGGGUGGAUUAUCUUUCUACUUUUUCUACAUUCAAAAUUUCCUUUAAUGAAAUUUUAUAUGUUUACAAUGAAAAAACAAGCAAUGAAAUUUGUUUUUAAGUAGCUUGAAAGUCAAAUAAUUCAUCCAAAAGCAAGGCAGAUUCUUGCAGAUGCAGAGAGGAGCCUCCCCUACUCCCAAGAAACUGUAUAUAUCUCCCCUUCAUCUCCUCAACCACUCAUAGAUGACCCGGCUAGUGAGUCAAAUUAUUCGGGAUGGCAUCAAUCCUCUGUAGAUGAUAUGCCAAGGCAAUGGCAGGAAUCACUUCUAAAUUUUGACAGAAGACCAGAUUUUGCCCUAAAGGGACCAAUUUAUAUUCAGAGUAGCAAAUUAGAAGAAAUAAUAAACGGAAUUCUCCAACAGGUUCUGGGUCUUUCUUAGCUACUCAUACUGUCUCUGAAAGAAUCCCUGUCUGGAACUUCUGAGAGUGUAACUUUGGAGACAGUGGAGUAAACGGAACUAGCUCUUUAAGAGUAUCUAUUAUUCACAAAGGGAAGGAGGACAUCAGUGGGGGAUGCUCUUUUGCAUGUCAGUCUUCCGCUCCAUCCACAGGCAUCCUGGAACCAUUCUUAUGUGAAAAUCAAGGUCUUCUGGCCUUGGUCCCACUUCACAGCAUCUCUCAAGAGUGGCAUCAGCGUAGUACCCACCAGCGCAUUCAGAAAGGCAUUUGCCAUCAUGCAACACUGUCUUCUCUGUACAGGAAAAGCAAGAAGGAUAAGACAGAAGUAGUCAAAGAUCUAGAAAGCACCAACAUUGAAUGAAGAAAGAAAAAACUAGCAGCGGUGACCAAGAAGAAGUAAUCCAAAGGCUCCCAGCUGUGAAUGGAAGGAGACAGAGAAGGAAAUCAUUAAAAGGGUAAGAGGAUGUUUUGUCUCUCCAAUAUUGUAAAAGCUCAAGGCAAAUUCAGAUCCUGGGAAAGGUUUUUAAAAAGACAAGAGUUUAAAUAAUCGUUGAAGGACUACGUAAGAGAAAAGGGGGAUGUACAUUCAAAAGUACAGAUGGAGAGAGGAGCCCUGACCAGACCAGAGAAAGGCCUCCUUUUCUGAGAGUGGGAGGAGGGAGGUGAGCGGGAGGAGGGAGGUGAGCGGGAGGAGGGAGGUGAGUGGGAGGAGGGAGGUGAGCGCGAGUGCAGCUGCGGCAAGUCUAUUACACAAUCUACUCUACACUCACUGGCUAAAUUCUUUAAAAACAAAAAAUUCUUUAAAAACAAACCUACUUCCCACUGUGGGAGAAUCAAUAUUUCAGGAAUAGAGAACUGAUUAGAUUUAUUCUGCCUAUUCUCUUAAUUCACCUAUACCAUGCUAACCUCCCGAAAAAUAUUUCCAAGACUUGAGCAAAAAGAUGCAAGAGAUGGGGCCAAAUGUUCCAUCCUGCAUCCUGGAAGAUUCAGCAUCUUUCUAGAAGCAAGCAUGGAAGGCGAGGUAAUCUUCAGAAAAUCAGAAAGGCAAUAAUUUUCAUAUCAGAGAAGAAGAAAAUCACCCCAACUCAUAACUGGAACAAAGAAGCAAAUAUGAAUCUGAAAAGCCUUCUUCCCUCCCACGCUCCAUAAAAACUUCUGAAGUUUCUAAUUCCAGAACUGACAUCUCAACAGAACUGAAUAAUCUACAAGCUAAGUAGAUCUUCCCAGAAAUGAAGAAUUGCAGAAAUUUUUUUAAAAAUUAAGAAAUGACCAACAAUAAAAACAUUACAAGUAAAACAUUUUGAGGCACAUCUACAGUAAUACUCAGAAUGUAAUUUGUAAAUUUAAACGAAAUGAUUAGAGAGAUGUUACUGCUCCCCAAAGUAGUCUAACUUCAAUACAGCAUUAAUAAAAAUUCCAGUUGAAUGUUAUUAGGAAUUCAAUAAACAGACUCUGAAGUCUAUGACCUGCUAAGUCAACUUUGAAAAUGAAGAGGGGGGCCGGCCCCGUUGCUGAGUGGUUAA